rnacentral:misc_RNA from 1 species
UGGAGCAAAAACGAUUGCCGCUAACCAGCAAGCUUACUUGGUCAAAACCAGUCACGACUGAUCCAAUCUUGGUGAAGGAAGUGUUUGCUAAUCUGUUGUCCAACGCAAUUAAGUACACGCCGGAAAAAGGAAAGAUUACAGUCGGAUUACGCAAACAGGGUAACAAUGUCUGCUAUAGCGUCAAAGACACCGGUUACGGUAUACCAGCCGCUCAAAAAGAUAAAGUAUUUACUAAAUUUUUCCGAGCCGACAACAUCGUCCAAAAGGAAGGCAUCGGAACUGGGUUGGGCCUCUACAUGGUCCAUGGAAUAGUCGAAAAUUUAGGUGGUAAAAUCUGGUUUGAAAGUGUCGAAAAUAAAGGCACAACCUUUUUCUUUACAUUGCCUUCAUCAGACUUGCGUCAUAAAAAAGGCCUCACGACUAUCGAGUCGACAUACGGCUCUUAAAAUACGGUGUGAAUUAAGUAACAGCGCCAUGAAAUAUUUUCACGCAUACUGAUGU